GACAAAAAGCAUUAGCCAAGCAUAUUCUGCUUGCUGUAACUAAAAAAGGUAGAGAACAGUCCAUUGUUUCCCAGGCCUUUCUCAGGCUUUUGGCCUUGCUAAAAACCACAUUGCAACUUGCUCUCUGUCCGGGAACCAUGCCAAAGCACAAGAAUGAAACAACUGGAACACUCUGAAACCCCCUCACCCCCUUUCCUGGGAAAAGUCCAAAAAUGGUCCCAAGACAGAAACUUUCUGUUCAUGCUCAGGGGAACUCAUGGGCAGGACUCUUGAAGAAGGAGGAGAAAGGGGGAGGGAACUGGAAGGGGAUAUAUACUCUGUGCAAUGGCUGUGAACUUCGUGCUUGUUUUGUGACUUAUCACACUUGCUCCUCUGCCCACCCGGGUUGGCAGAAUAAAAAGCUCUUUCUCUGGAUUUAACCCCUUGGUGUCGUUGGCUCCUUUCGUCCCUGCUCGGGUGCAACAUUUCCCUACCCAUGGUUUAAAGGGCCUAGAAAGGCUACAUUUUCUGGUGCAUUGGCCGGGAAAAAGCACGUUCCCCGGAGUUGAGGGACAAAGGUGCAGGGCGUCACUGCGAGGCGAACAGCUCAGGCUCCGGGUCAACAGUUCCAGCGUGCAUCCUGCCAAGUUCGUGGGAGGGACUGGCCACCCGUUCCUGAGUAGACACGUGACAAGCGACGGAGAGAAAAAGCAACGGCCGUGCAGAAGGAAGGUACCUCAAGGAACAAGGUAGGCUCCACAGGGUUUUAGGUGGGAGCAAGAAAAAAGAGAGUUUGAUCAGCUCCACCAGUAGGGCAGUAAAAGGUGCCACUGGUUUUUGGUUUGCCCAGAAAAGCAGUAGAAAGGGUGCUGCUGGGCACCGGUCGAAGUCUAAGCGCUGCCGGUUGUGGUUUUGGUGUUGGUAAAAAGGGGGUUGGGGGAGGUGCAUGGGUUUUUCUGAAUGUGCGUGUGGGGACACUCCAGUGAAUGUUUUGAGUGUGUGAGACGUUGGGAGCAACGUGACUGAGUGAAAAAAUAACUAGGAGGGCGGAGUGUCCCAGUUUCCCAGUGUCCAAGUGUCCAAGUGUUCCAGGGUCAUGGAGAAAAAGCAGUAAAACAACUCCCAUGACCCCCCUGCAAUGUUUCCUGAACAAAUUGGAAAGAUGCCACUCAAGUAGAUGAUUGAGGAUUUAAAACUGAAGAAAAAUAGACUCCAACACUUAUGUGAAGUUCCUGACCGUCCCCCAUGGCUUAGGAAAAGUAGAACUGUGAUUAGCCGAGUCAAACUGUGCUCAGUACAAUUACAAGUUAAAAAGCCAGCAGUUUUGCCAGUCCCAGAAGAGGAGUAAUUUGGCCCCCUCCAACCUAUGCACCAACUGCCCCCGUUGCUGCACAAGGGUUGCCAAAUCUGGGAGCAGGCGAGGGUGAGGGCACUGGUCCUUUUCCCCCUGCCCAGAAGAACACUGCUCCUUCCCCCCCUUGCACAGGGUAAGGAUCCCCAACUCCCAAGAAAAGAGGAAGAGAAGGAAAGUGAGGAAGAAGGUGAUAUGGAAAAUUCAGAAGGAAUUUAGAAAGUGGACAAGCAGUCCAAAAGAGUGUUUCAGUAUGUAGAACCACAUGUGGCUUCUUGGGAUAGAAGCAGCAUAAUGCAAGGAUGAGCAUUGACAGAAAGAAACAGAGCAGAAGGCUUUGAGAGCCGCAUGGGACAGAACUGUUAAAAAAAAGAGAGAGACAAUUAAAAAACCCGAGGGAUUAAAAACCCUAGGAUUACAAUACUGACCAUUGAGGAAAUCCGCAAGAUACAUGCCCUCAGGGCAGCGGACAAUACUGACACUGCAGUUGAGGUCUCUUACCCCAGGAACACGCCCCCUUGGGAUUACAAUACUACUGCGGGAAGGGCGGCCUUAGAGACUUAUCACAAAAAUGUUUUAGAAGGCAUGAGAAGGGCAGCGAAAAGACCUACAAAUAUGGCAAAAUUAUCUGAGGUUUUUCAGCUGCCCAGUGAGCCCCCAGGAGUAUUUUUGGAGAGAUUAAAAGAGGCAUUCCGCAAGUACACCCCCGUAGAUCCUGAUUAUGAGGCCCAAGAGGUGAUUGUAAAAACUACCUUUGUGAUGCAAGCAGCUCCCGACAUAAGACGAAAAAUCCAAAAGCAUGAGAACUUUAUGGGGAACCGUCUCGAAUGGAUGUUAACUCUUGCCCAGACAACUUACAAUCAAAGGGGAGAAGAAGCAGAAAUGCAGAGAGAAAAAUACCAGACCAAAAAAUUAAUGGCACUAAGAGCCGGCCAGCAGCCAGCAGCCAAAAAUGCAAUCCUGGAGGGUGUCCACGGGAGGGGCAGAAGACACCUAGGGAAGAAACCAGUGCACCAUCUGCAGGCAAGAAGGUCACUGGAAAAUGGAAUGCCCACAGGCCCCACUCCCCCGCUCCCCACAGGCUGGGAACAGUAACCCCAUGGCCUGAACCCCACCUCACCAGCCGGGAGCACAGGCAACGGCCCAGAGAGACGAAGAAACUUACCAGGAUAAACCAGGCCCAACAAACGCAGGUUCCCAGAAGCUGCCUGGCCCUGGUCCAACAAUGGUUGCUCAGCACAUGGAAUGAGGUUUCUGAAAAUGAUCCCCCCCCCAUCUAUCUUGCUAAAAGACUGUUGCAGUGGAAAGCAUGUGAACAGACUGUUUCUAACAUUCAUUCAUGCAAUAACAAGACAUCAGCUUUUUUUUCCUUGAAGCAGCUUCAGAAUAAAAUGGAAUGUGAGGCAUGUUUAUCUCUUGGCAGCUAUCUCAGAAGGACAUUGCUGUAUUCUCCCCAGCCAGCUUCCCUGAACCCCACACUGUCUGGAUUUACAGUCAAGCGACAAAAAACCCCAGAAUGCCAAGAGUUACCCACCCCAGCCCCAAGUACUAACCUGAAGAGUGAUUUCUUAAAAGCAAGUGAAUGCUUUCUGUGAACUUUGUCAAAAAAAAUUCUUUUUAGGAUCUACUGAAGAAGCGCAGCAUGCUCAGAUCAAAACGCUGCUCCUAUAGGAAUUUUGAAACUUUGAAACUUUGGAAGUUUGCCAGUGCACGGGAACACUGUGCCCCUCCUGCUUAACACUGACAAACACUUGGCAGAUGAACUGCAAUUUGCAACAUGGCUUUGCAACAUGGCUUACAGGCCGCAAAAGCUCUGAAAAAAUUAGAGUGCAGAGAAAAAGACUUUUAAAAAUCUCAGCUGGCAAACUUAACCCAAGAAAAAAGGACUGUCAUCCAUCUGUCAUGGAUGCUUUAGUUAAGAUUCCUGCAUUGCAGAGGAUUAGACUAAAUGACCCUAGGAAUACUCUUCCCAGUCAGGCUCACCUGACAUCUAUUCUCAUGUCUUUUUUGAUGCAAGGUGAAGCCCUUUUAAUUUUCCCAGACAUCUGUUAGAACCCAAAACUAAGAAUUUGUCAAGAAUGUACAACUUGCUGCUGAAAUGGAAUACUCAGGAUGAAACGGUAAAAUCGGCUAUGAUUAAAUGGGCACAGGACGUUGGACAUAAUAUUAUGUUUGCUGACUGGGAACGGUUAUGGACCACAGAUAUGAAAUUUACGGCAUGUAAUGCCUUAAGAGAGAAUAUUAUGAAAAUGAUAUACAGGUGGUACAUAACCCCAGUCAAGCUUGCAAAAAUCUAUCACUUGCCCGAUAACAAAUGUUGGAAAUGUAAAGAAACUGAAGGUACAUUUUUUCACCUUUGGUGGACGUGCCCAAAGAUUAAGGCUUUCUGGGAAAUGGUAUAUAAUGAAUUAAAAAAGGUAUUUAAGUAUACCUUCCCUAAGAAACCAGAGGCCUUUCUCCUGGGCAUAGUCGGCCAAAUGGUGUUAAAAAAGGAUAGAACUUUCUUUAUGUAUGCAACAACAGCAGCAAAGUAUUGGAAGACACAAGAACUUCCCACGCUGGAGGAAUGGCAGAUGAAACUUAUGGACUAUAUGGAAUUGGCGGAAAUGACUGGUAGAAUCCGUGACCAGGGAGAAGAGUCGAUGGAGGAAGAUUGGAAGAAAUUUAAAGACUAUCUUCAGAAACACUGCAAAAUUAAGGAAUGUUAGAGUGAUGUUGGACUGAAAACAAGCGGUUUCCAGCUGUACAGGUUAAAGUUAAUGAUAGACUAAGAUUAAAGAUUAAGAUUAAGGAUGUUUAAAGAAAUGGAAAUCUGAUAUUAAGAGGGAAAAUUUUAACGUUAUAUGAUACUAAGACCAAAGAUUAGGUUUAAAGAAGUUGAAGUUAUAUAUUUUAAUAUCUUAUUAAACUAAAGAUUGGGAUUAAAAAAGUGGAAAAGAAACUGCUGAACAAACAAUUUGGAUUGGAAUACAAAAGAGGGAGGUAUGAGGAAGUCCAGAAAAUAAGUAACUUAAAAAUGGAAAUGGAAAAGAGAUAUUGUUUUUAAUGGUUAUGUGUUUUUUUUUAUGGUUGAAUUUUGUUUUGUUUUGUGUGUGUGUUGUUAUAUGUAUUGCAUAUGUUUUUCUUUUCUUUCUUUGUUGUUUAAAACCUUAAUAAAAAUUAUUUUAAAAAAAUAAUAAUAAUAAUUUUCCCAGACAUCUAAAAGCUGUUCUGAAUUGGCUUUAUUCAGCUGGUAUGCUGGUAUGCUUUUACUGUACUGCUUGGCUAAUUAUACUUCUUGGUAAUUUUAUUAUUUUAAUCUAUUUCAAAUGAUUUGCUAGCCAUUCUGGAAAUAGUAAUAUUGAAGUGCAGGGUAAAGUAGAAGUGGAGGAGGAGUGAUAGUCAAGUACAUUGCACAACUAGGCUUAAGCAGGGGAGCGCAGUGUACUUAAACAAUAUGAUGCAAUUUACACUGAUACCUGAGAUUAGAUUGGAAUCACUUUGUGGGUGAUCUCAAAAGAGUCUGCUAUGGUUAGGGUGGUGUCUCAUAAUGGAAGUGGUGUGACACCUUGGUGAAUCCAGGACUGGGGUGUUUUCUGUUGUUUCAUAUUUUAUUUUCUGCAU